AACGAACGCUGGCGGCGCGCCUAACACAUGCAAGUCGAACGAGAAGCUGUAGCAAUACAGUUGUACAGUGGCGAACGGGUGAGGAAUACAUGGGUGACCUACCCUCGAGUGGGGAAUAACCAGCCGAAAGGUUGGCUAAUACCGCGUACGUUUCCCAGUUUACGGAUUGGGAAGGAAAGCGAUGCCGUGGGUAUCGCGCUCAAGGUUGGGCUCAUGUCCUAUCAGCUUGUUGGUGAGGUAACGGCUCACCAAGGCAACGACGGGUAGCUGGUCUGAGAGGACGAUCAGCCACACUGGCACUGCGACACGGGCCAGACUCCUACGGGAGGCAGCAGUGAGGAAUAUUGCGC
rnacentral:rRNA from 1 species